UGCGCCACUAUAAUCAUAGCGCCACCUGCUGACAACAGAAAAUGGCUUAUUUUACACUAACUUAAACAAUGCAAUGUCCAAUCUGCACCAAACUUCAAAUAUUUGAUAAGAGUCAUGGCCUGAAGAUAUCUAAAGGCCAAUGUUCAGUUAUAAUCAUAGCGCCACCUGUUGGCAAUAGGACACAACAUACUUUAUACUAACUCAAACAUUCCAUGUUCAAUCUGCCCUAAAUUUCAUAUGCUUGAUAAAAAGUGCUGGACUGAAGAAAUCUACAUGACAAAAUCCAGUUAUAGUCAUAGCGCCACCAGCUGGCAGCAGGAAGAUUGGCACAUAUAAAUGACUUUGGCAUAUUCCUCUUAUAUUUACCACAUUAAACGCAUAUUUCUCGCCGUUCGCUGUUUUACAAAAGCCACCCGGUGGUGGUGAGCCCGGGUGCGAGGGCCCGUUCAUCGCUGCUUGCAGCUUUAAUUAUAUAUAUUAUUUUUAUAAAAUGGUAUGUAUAUAUAUAAUUUUAAAAUAAAUUAUUCAAUAAAAAACUAUUACAAAUAUUAAUACUAUUUUAAAAAUCUAUAUACUAUAUACAAGUUGAAUUUCUUGUCACUCACAUUCAGUGUUUUGAUAUCAGAAUUCUGUUUCUUUCAGGGUCAAAGCUGAUGUUGGAUUUAACUGACAGAGACACAGGCGACACCGCACUGCACAAAGCAGCAUCUCGGCAGCAUGUGGAGGUGUGCAAACGUUUGCUGGAGGCCGGAGCUUCCCUCAGCAAAACGAACUUCCUAGGAAAAACUCCCAAGGAUUGUGCCCUGGACGCUGGGAACUCAGAGUUGGCGUCCCUCAUGGAGAGGCAGCCGGUGGAGGAGCCGGCGGCGCACGAGGAUCUAGAGACGGUUGUAUGAACGGGCUCAUGAGUCAGAGUCAGGAAGAUUUUUCCCCACAGAAAGUGGCUGUCGACACUCCUCCGAGCAUCUGCUCGCACUCGCAGAGACAGAACGGGAGAGAGUGAGAGAAGAAAGACAAAGAGGGAGGUGAAUCGAGAGCGCCUCGGGCUAAGAGAGUCCUCGGGAUCAUGUCUAGCUGUUGUUUUUCCACUAAUGUCACUGUGGGGUUUCAGCAUUUAUUUAUUGCUCUUAUUUAUUAUAACUAUUUAUUCAAAGAUGGAUUGGGUUUUGUUGCGUCACAGGUUAGUUUAAGAGACAAAAGAUGUUUAAACAUGCCAGAGAUUGAAGCUUUCAUGCAUCAUGUUGUGUGCCAAAGUCACACAGAGAGGAAGAACAUCAUCUGAAGGAAGAUACUGAGUUUGAUUAAAGGAGGAUCUUCUUCAGAGACACAAUCAUUGCAGAGAUUUUAAACUCAAACUACAGAUGUUUCACGUUUUGUUUGUGUGCCGUUACAGUGGAGUGAUUGUGAAAUUACCUUACAACAACGAGAGAAGAUCUGAGCCAUAUUCAAUGCAAUAUGAAUGGAUGACAUUUGUGCAUUUAUCUAUUUAAUAUUACAUUACAUUAAUGUUUCAAGACGAGCAAAGGAACCGGAUGUGUUUUUCCACUGAUGGCAGCUGAUUGGUUUCUGAAAUGCCAAGUUUAGCUGAGAAUGACUAAACCAAAUGAACGCUGCUGAGAGUUAAACGUGGUAUUUUGAACAUAUGCUUAGUCCAUGUCAAAUCACUCAUGACGGAAAUGCCCAGCGACGUGUCUGCAUGAAAAGCGGAUCACGCUGAGCCUUUGUGAGAUCCAUUUACAUACGAGUGAUCUGCUGUGUUAUCUUCUAAUAUUUUAAAGCAUUAUUGUGCAUGGAAAUUUUCGUUACCUCUCUGGAUGUUUCUACCCCUCAGUGAUUAUGUAACGAAAUGGCAUUAUUUCUUUUUGUAAUUUUAAGUUAUACUGUAUGAAAAACAUGAAAUUGUUCAGUGGUUGUAUUUUUCUUUUUUUCUUUUUUAAUCUUUUAAAAGAUGGGGACGACUUGAAUGUUUUAGUUUUUUUUCAAAUUCCUAAAUAUCUAUUUUAGGUGUGUAUGAGGUCAGUGGGUGAGCAGAUGUGAAGGUUAUGUGGAGAUGUGACAGAUAUGAUGGUGCACGAUCGCAAAACUGGGAAUGUUUCUCAUUAAAGGCAUUCAGAUGGAAAGCACCAGUGUUGUGUGUUUACUGGACAGUCAUAAACUACUCGGAAGUUACAGCUAGAGAAGUUGAAAUACUUUAAAUAGCAUGCAGUGUUUCCACUCUUGACUUACAGUAUGGACAUUUUCUUUAUAGGUUUUGUAGGUAGACCAUGACCUGUACUACUAACAGUACCAAACAGAAACAGCUCAUAUAAAUCAGGACAGUGUGCUAUCGCAGCUGUUUUAUCUAUUUAUUUCAGUCGAAAGUCAAUGACUCAAUUGUGGUGAAUGGAGUUUUUGUUGAAUCAGUAACAACUCGCUGCGGUGUCUGUGCAAAUGACGCGUCAGAUUGGCUCCGCCCACAGCGCAUACAUACACGUCCUGGAACUUCUGUCUGUCUGGUCACACCAGACACAACACGGAGUCAUGUAAGUGUUUCAACUUUCAUUAUAUUUAUUAACCAAGAGAAAAAUGUAAUACUGACCGUCUCAGACUGUCGUGUUGUUUUCUUAAAGACGAUCGAGUAAAUGUGUUUGACACUUCCGUGACUUCGGAUAGGCGUGUUUCUACGAGAACUUUGAUAACAUCCAAGUCGUGCGUGUGAUUUGUGUCUGAAUUUAUGGAGAUGUCGGAGACUGAAGAAAAAUGAAACGAAUGAGGGCUGGUGAACAUGCCCAGACACAUUCACUCACUUAUUAAAUAGUGACAUCGAGCACAUUCUAUAGAAUUAACUAAUGUGUGUACUUUCGUGAAUUACAGAUUAAAUCAGUCAUGUAAAAUUAAGUAAAACGUAUGGUAAAUUAAAAAUAAGCAAUGAUAAUUAUACGCUUUAGAUCGCGACUUCCACUGCAGGAGCAUUAAUGCUUGUUUUAUUUGGCAAAUUAAAGAAAUACUGCUUUAAACAACAAUUAAUAUACAGUUGAAGUUGCACAAACCAAGCGUUCUGAUGAAGUGUUUGCAUAUCUGAGCAGGGAUCAGAAGCACAGUGACGGUGACGUCCAGACGCCUGCUGCGGACA
rnacentral:lncRNA from 1 species